rnacentral:rRNA from 1 species
UACGUAGGGUGCAAGCGUUAAUCGGAAUUACUGGGCGUAAAGCGUGCGCAGGCGGUUUCGUAAGUCUGUCGUGAAAGCCCCGGGCUCAACCUGGGAAUUGCGAUGGAGACUGCGAGGCUAGAGUGUGUCAGAGGGGGGUAGAAUUCCACGUGUAGCAGUGAAAUGCGUAGAUAUGUGGAGGAACACCGAUGGCGAAGGCAGCCCCCCUGGGAUAACACUGACGCUCAUGCACGAAAGCGUGGGGAGCAAACGAGG